GGAUGUGAGGGUGAUGUGGCUGCGACAUCUGUCACCCCAUUGAUCGCCAGGGUUGAUUCGGCUGAUCUGGCUGGCUAGGCGGGUGUCCCCUUCCUCCCUCACGGCUCCAUGUGCGUCCCUCCCAAAGCUGCGCGCUCGGUGGAAGAGGACGGCCUUCCCCGAAUAGAGAUGGACUGGUCUUCGGUUGAGGGUAUACGAGUAGCUGCACUCCCCUGCUAGAACCUCCAAACAAGCUCUCAAGGGUAAGAGGGGUACAACUUCACACAAUUCCCACCACUGGGACUCUGU
ensembl:misc_RNA 7SK 7SK RNA